AAGCGUAGGUGGCAAUCAGCAAACUGUUAAGGGCAAUGAUCUGUUGUUUCAGCUAUUUCUCUUCCUGGAACUUUCUGUUCCAGGUAGCAAGUGAAGUCAUGCUUGGCAAAUAGGCGGUAUAGGCAGCGCAUUGAGUAAGUCACUAAAUCAAUCAAUAAAUCAGUAUCUAGUAACCACUCUCUUCUGACAUAUUCUUCUUUAUCUGAAGGUGAAACAGACACCAAGACUCUGGACUCAGGGUACCACCUGGGACAUGGAGGUUGCUCUUGGCCAGGCAGAAAUGGAGAUCCCCACACAAGCGCCUAGCUGCACACGCUCCACUACUUUUGGAACUGGAAAGCUGCUGAGAUGAUUGACAGAAAGGCGGCAGGAGCAGCGUGGGAGAGGACAUCAACCUUCCAGGACUCUGACGAUUUUGCCUGUUCUGUUCACAGGAAACUGGCCUCCAGGAAUGCACAACUACCUCUUCCAGUUUGGAAAAGGAGAGAACUUUUUGCCACCACAUUGCUGACCUCAAAGAGAGACUUCCGUCCUGAAGGAAUGUGGAGUCAAGUUGUUUCUGUCCUGGUCCCUUUCUGGAAUCCGGGUCAGAACUAGUGAUGCAGGAAAUGCUCACGUUCCUGAUGGCUGUGCAUGAAUUAGUGAUGAUGCAGGACAGACUGCUGCAGCCCCAACCACGAAGGCUUGGAGCCGUGUGUGAAAGGUGGUGCUCCAGGGCUGGCGCGGCGGCUGCUCUGUCCUGGGGCCAGGAUCCUUCUGCUGUGGCCUUGGCCUUCCUUCCCCCCCCCCCCCUACAGGCUGCUUCCCAUGGGCCUUGGUCUCGGCACCACCUCCUGCUGGAGCAGCCUGUAGGGAGGGCAGGUGGUGCUUCCAUCAGAUACCAGACAGGAUUAGUCUGCAUUUCCUUCUCCAGAGAGUAGUCACUCAGCCACCCCUACCUGAAUGAGGAAACAGGUCUGUGAGCAUGGGGCAGGAGAAGGGUUCAGCAGUGACAAGCACUUGCCGCUCAUCCAGAGUUCAGGUCCCAGUACCCACAUCAAGCAGCUCACAAUUGCCUAUAACCCCAGCUCCAGGGGAU